rnacentral:rRNA from 1 species
UACGAAGGGGGCUAGCGUUGCUCGGAUUGACUGGGCGUAAAGGGCGCGUAGGCGGUUUGUACAGUCAGGUGUGAAAUUCCCGGGCUCAACCUGGGGGCGGCACUUGAGACGUAGGAACUGGAGUGAGGAAGAGGGUCGUGGAAUUCCCAGUGUAGAGGUGAAAUUCGUAGAUAUUGGGAAGAACACCAGUGGCGAAGGCGGCUCACUGGCCCGGUACUGACGCUGAGGUGCGAAAGCGUGGGGAGCAAACAGG